UACGAAGGGGGCUAGCGUUUGGUUUCGGAUUUACUGGGCGUAAAGCGCACGUAGGCGGAUCUUUAAGUCAGAGGUGAAAUCCCAAGGCUCAACCUUGGAACUGCCUUUGAUACUGGGGAUCUCGAGUCCGGAAGAGGUGAGUGGAAUUCCCAGUGUAGAGGUGAAAUUCGUAGAUAUUCGGAAGAACACCAGUGGCGAAGGCGACUUACUGGACACAUAUUGACGCUGAGGUGCGAAAGCGUGGGGAGCAAACAGGG
rnacentral:rRNA from 1 species